UACGGGGGGAGCAAGCGUUGUUCGGAUUUAUUGGGCGUAAAGAGCGUGUAGGCGGCCAGGUAGGUCUGCUGUGAAAACUCGAAGGCUCAACCUCGAGAUGUCGGCGGAAACCAUCUGGCUAGAGUCCGGAAGAGGAGAGUGGAAUUCCUGGUGUAGCGGUGAAAUGCGCAGAUAUCAGGAGGAACACCGAUGGCGAAGGCAGGUCACUGGGCCGCAACUGACGCUGAGGAGCGGAAAGCAUGGGGAGCGAACAGG
rnacentral:rRNA from 1 species